UACGUAGGGUCCAAGCGUUAUCCGGAAUCACUGGGCGUAAAGCGUGCGUAGGUGGAUUGUUAAGUGCGGUGCGAAAUCCUGUGGCUCAACCAUAUGGACUGUAUCGCAUACUGGCAACCUAGAGGACAUGAGAGGCAAGUGGAAUUACUGGUGUAGCAGUGAAAUGCGUAGAGAUCAGUAGGAACACCAAUGGCGAAGGCAGCUUGCUGGCAUGUAUCUGACGCUAAGGCACGAAAGCGUGGGGUAGCAAAACAGGG
rnacentral:rRNA from 1 species